GCCCAGUUUCAAUUUCAAUGCAACCGGAUUUCUCUAUACUAUUUUCCUCAAUUGUUAUGCUAGUGCUACCAUUAGCAGAAUCGUCAAACGGUUUUCCAAGCAAGCUUUCAUAUUCUUGUGCACACAAAUUAUCCUNNNAGAUGUUUCUCAAUUGAACACAAACCCUGUAAUUCAAUUGCUACUUCCUUCAUUGUGGGUCGUUCCUCUCCCUUUACACUUAGACAACUCUUAGCUAACAUCGCCACUGCCUUUAG
rnacentral:misc_RNA from 1 species